CCUACGGGAGGCAGCAGUGGGGAAUAUUGCACAAUGGGGGAAACCCUGAUGCAGCGACGCCGCGUGGGGGAAGAAGGAUUUCGGUAUGUAAAGCCCUAUCAGCAGGGAAGAUAAUGACGGUAUCUGAUUAAUAAGCCCCGGCUAACUACGUGCCAGCAGCCGCGGUAAUACGGAGGGGGCAAGCGUUAUCCGGAUUUACUGGGUGUAAAGGGAGCGUAGACGGGAGCGCAAGUCUGAAGUGAAAUGCCGGGGCUUAACCCCGGAACUGCAUUGGAAACUGUUCAGCUAGAGUGCGGGAGAGGUAAGUGGAAUUCCUAGUGUAGCGGUGAAAUGCGUAGAGAUUAGGAGGAACACCAGUGGCGAAGGCGGCUUACUGGAAUGUAACUGACGUUGAGGCGCGAAAGCGUGGGGAGCAAACAGGAUUAGAUACCCCAGUAGUC
rnacentral:rRNA from 1 species